rnacentral:rRNA from 1 species
GACGUAGGGCGCGAGCGUUGUCCGGAUUUAUUGGGCGUAAAGAGCUCGUAGGCGGCUUGUCGCGUCGACUGUGAAAUCCCGCGGCUCAACUGCGGGUCUGCAGUCGAUACGGGCAGGCUAGAGUUCGGUAGGGGAGACUGGAAUUCCUGGUGUAGCGGUGAAAUGCGCAGAUAUCAGGAGGAACACCGGUGGCGAAGGCGGUUCUCUGGGCAUUACCUGACGCUGAGGAGCGAAGGCCAGGGGAGCAAACGGG